CAGUCGCCGCGGGAAAACGUAGGUGGCGAGCGUUGUCCGGAAUUAUUGGGCGUAAAGGGAGCGCAGGCGGACAUAUAAGUCCAUCUUAAAAGUGCGGGGCUCAACCCCGCGAGGGGAUGGAAACUGUAUGCCUUGAGUGCAGGUGAGGAAAGCGGAAUUCCCAGUGUAGCGGUGAAAUGCGUAGAUAUUCGCAAGAACACCAGUGGCGAAGGCGGCUUACUGGCUCGAAACUGACGCUGAGGCGCGAAAGCGUGGGGAGCAAACAGGAUUAGAUACCCCGGUAGUCCCUGUCUCUUAUACC
rnacentral:rRNA from 1 species